UGCCCUAGUAACGGCGAGUGAAGCGGCAACAGCUCAAAUUUGAAAUCUGGCUCUUUCAGAGUCCGAGUUGUAAUUUGCAGAGGGCGCUUUGGUGUUGGCAGCGGUCCAAGUUCCUUGGAACAGGACGUCACAGAGGGUGAGAAUCCCGUACGUGGUCGCUAGCCUUCGCCGUGUAAAGCCCCUUCGACGAGUCGAGUUGUUUGGGAAUGCAGCUCUAAAUGGGAGGUAAAUUUCUUCUAAAGCUAAAUACUGGCCAGAGACCGAUAGCGCACAAGUAGAGUGAUCGAAAGAUGAAAAGCACUUUGGAAAGAGAGUCAAAUAGCACGUGAAAUUGUUGAAAGGGAAGCGCUUGCAGCCAGACUUGCCUGUAGUUGCUUAUCCGGACUUUUGUCCGGUGCACUCUUCUGCGGGCAGGCCAGCAUCAGUUUGGGCGGUUGGAUAAAGGUCUCUGUCAUGUACCUCUCUUCGGGGAGAACUUAUAGGGGAGACGACAUGCAACCAGCCUGGACUGAGGUCCGCGCAUCUGCUAGGAUGCUGGCGUAAUGGCUGUAAGCGGCCCGUCUUGAAACACGGACCAAGGAGUCUAACAUCUAUGCGAGUGUUUGGGUGUCAAGCCCAGACGCGUAAUGAAAGUGAACGGAGGUGGGAACCCUUUGGGUGCACCAUCGACCGAUCCUGAUGUCUUCGGAUGGAUU
rnacentral:rRNA from 1 species